rnacentral:rRNA from 1 species
UAACACAUGCAAGUCGAACGAACCUUCGGGUUAGUGGCGCACGGGUGAGUAACACGUGGGAAUCUACCUUUGAGUUGGGAAUAACCAUUGGAAACGAUGGCUAAUACCCAAUACGUCCUUCGGGAGAAAGAUUUAUCGCUCAGAGAUGAGCCCGCGUCCAAUUAGCUAGUUGGUGGGGUAAUGG